UGCCUUUCUGUGCCCUGAUGCCCUUC
rnacentral:piRNA from 1 species